AAUCAACGCUGGCGGCGUGCCUCAGACAUGCAAGUCGAACGAUUAAGACUCCCUUCGGGGAGUGUAUAAAGUGGCGUACGGGUGAGUAACACGUAAGUAAUCUACCUUCGAGUGGGGAAUAACAUCGGGAAACCGAUGCUAAUACCGCAUAAUGCAGCGGCAUCGAAAGAUGACAGUUGUUAAAGGAGCAAUUCGCUUGAAGAGGAGCUUGCGGCAGAUUAGCUAGUUGGUAAGGUAAUGGCUUACCAAGGCUACGAUCUGUAUCCGGUCUAAGAGGACGGUCGGACACACUGACACUGAAUAACGGGUCAGACUCCUACGGGAGGCAGCAGUCGGGAAUUUUGGGCAAUGGGCGAAAGCCUGACCCAGCAACGCCGCGUGAAGGAUGAAGUUUUUCGGAAUGUAAACUUCGAAAGAAUGGGAAGAAUAAAUGACGGUACCAUUUAUAAGGUCCGGCUAACUACGUGCCAGCCGCCGCGGUAACAC
rnacentral:rRNA from 1 species